AGCAGCCGCGGUAAUUCCAGCUCCAAUAGCGUAUAUUAAAGUUGUUGCAGUUAAAAAGCUCGUAGUUGAAUUUCGGGAUCAAUAUGUCGGUCGUGCCUUCGGUACGUACUGGUAUCAUUGGUCUCUCCUUUCUGACGAACCAUGAUGUCAUUAAUUUGGUGUUAUGGGGAGUUAGGACUGUUACUUUGAAAAAUUAGAGUGUUUAAAGCAGGCUCACGCUUGAAUACAUUAGCAUGGAAUAAUGAAAUAGGACGUUUGAUUCUAUUUUGUUGGUUUCUAGGAUCGACGUAAUGAUUAAUAGGGAUAGUUGGGGGCAUUAGUAUUCAAUUGUCAGAGGUGAAAUUCUUGGAUUUAUUGAAGACUAACUACUGCGAAAGCAUUUGCCAAGGAUGUUUCCAUUAAUCAAGAACGAAAGUUAGGGGAUCGAAGACGAUCAGAUACUGUCGUAGUCUUAACCAUAAACUAUGCCGACUAGGGAUCGGAU
rnacentral:rRNA from 1 species